rnacentral:rRNA from 1 species
CCAAUAGCGUAUAUUAAAGUUGUUGCAGUUAAAAAGCUCGUAGUUGAAUUUCGGGAUCAAUAUAUCGGUCGUGCCAUUGGUACGUACUGGUAUCAUUGGUUUCUCCUUUCUGACGAACCAUGAUGUCAUUAAUUUGGUGUUAUGGGAAGUUAGGACUGUUACUUUGAAAAAAUUAGAGUGUUUAAAGCAGGCUUUAGCUUGAAUACAUUAGCAUGGAAUAAUGAAAUAGGACGUUCGAACCUAUUUUGUUGGUUUCUAGGAUCAACGUAAUGAUUAAUAGGGAUAGUUGGGGGCAUUAGUAUUCAAUUGUCAGAGGUGAAAUUCUUGGAUUUAUUGAAGACUAACUACUGCGAAAGCAUUUGCCAAGGAUGUUUUCAUUAAUCAAGAACGAAAGUUAGGGGAUCGAAGACGAUCAGAUACCGUCGUAGUCUUAACCAUAAACUAUGCCGACUAGGGAUCGGAUGGUGUUAAUUUUUUAAUGACUCAUUCGGCGCCUUACG